UCAAUAUUUGUUUUGAAAUUCUUGGUAAAUUAAGUUUCUAAAUUUGUAAAUAUAAAUAUCUAAAACUGUAAAUAUAUACUUCUUUGUUAAAUGUUAAUAAUUAUUCUAGACCUAAUUCAAAUUCGUAAAUUUCGAUACAACACAACAUGGAAUACCAAUUAAAACGAACCGUGUAGCUGGUGCAGACUUGCAUGCAAUUUAGAUAGAACGUUGCGUGAAGAGGUUAGUUGCUACGCCUGAAACGCAUAAGCGCCUUUGAAGCGGAUCACCAUUCGUGACACCGUUACAUAAAGUCCGAGCAAUGAGAAAGGGUUCGACUUGCAAUCGGGAAUAUGAGUAGCAGACCAAACCGCUUCGAAUGGGAGGGAGAUGUUUACAAUCUAUCUCUUACAAUCAGGGUCAACGUAAUCCGUCGCGCUUCAAUUUCCGGUUACAUUGCCAAAGAACGUUAAUCUGAGGAUUAUUUGCAAUCGACUCGUUCACUUUGAUCCUGACCGUGGUGAAAGAAGGGCGCGAUCCUUUAGUUUGUUCCGUGGUGUAAUUGGCUAGCCUAGUUGUAAAUUGUGCGGUAGAGUUUUUGUGAGCUGUGCGACUGUCUUGUGUGUUAAAGCCUAGACGACAAAGCCACCGCCUGCACGCCAUCACCAUUGCUCGUCGCCAUCGCCAACCCUUGCCACGCUCUGGACUCAGGGUUCCCCGCCUUGACGAAGGCGGAAGGGAGUAGCAACCGUCUAACUGCACUCCAACCGGCGACCCCCAGUCAAACCCCGGCCGAUUGAGUCGGCCCGAACCGUAAGUGUUUCCAAACCUUCUUUUUUCCGGACCCGUUCGCGGUUCCGAGUGUGCUGUAGUCAGCGAAAAUAGGCGAACCGUCGUAAACUCCAGUCGGAGUCCAUCGCAGUGGCUGAAAUGGCCAAUUUGAAUUAGUCGUUGUAAGCAAGACACGUUACACCGAGAAGCGCUAGAGUUAGAGAUAGUAGUAGAAGACCGCACAAGCUAUGGAAGAGAAGGGGACUAAGUAGGCCGGCCCAGAUAUGUGAUUUGAAGCGAAUUAUACAAAUGUCUAUCGAAAUAAACUAUGUUUUUGUUUCUGUAAAUUGUAGUUCCUAGUUAGUCAGAUGUGAUUGAGAGAGUCUGGAGGGUAUUUCACGUUCCGCGUUAGUAUUGUCUGUCCGCGUAUGUUGAUCCGAAUUGUUCGUCUUUCGAAGCGAGAGGGAAAGAUGGGGUGGGAAGAUUGCUACCAGUGAUGAUAAUUUUAUACUGUGGACACGUGAUAGGAUUUGGGAGUGUGCUGGGUUUCGUUGGUCAGGAUUGUAAGAGUUUGGUUGUCGGUAUCGUGGGUUAGAUAAUUUGAGUGUGGGUGGUCGGUUACGCGUGUUCCUGGUGUGUUGAACAAUUUCCGGACUGGUUCAUUAACCAGUCUAUAGCCGGGCAAACUAACCCGACGGGUGGUCCUCUUCGGAGGUGGCGCGUAAGCCAUCCGUUGCAAAAUCCUCCAGGAACAGCCGCGGCAC